GACAGCUGGAGGCCUGUCCCCAUGGCUCAUCUGUCUCAGUGGUACCUUGGGGUGAAGCAGAGACUCUGGCGGUGGAAGCCAAAGGCUUUACCAAGUUGGUUCUGUCCACAACACAGGGAUUGAACCUUCCGAACCUCAAG
rnacentral:lncRNA from 14 species